CCAGUAGCGUAUAUUAAAGUUGUUGCAGUUAAAAAGCUCGUAGUUGAAUUUCGGGAUUGACGUGAUGGUCGUGCCUUACGGGGUAUGAACUGUUGCAGUCAAUUUCUCACCUUCUGGAGAAAUAUGAUGUCCUUAAUUGGGUGUCAUAUGGAACCAGAACUUUUACCUUGAAAAAAUUAGAGUGUUUAAAGCAGGCUUAUUGCUCGAAUACAUUAGCAUGGAAUAAUAGAAUAGGACGGCAUGGUUCUAUUUUGUUGGUUUCUAGGAUCACCGUAAUGAUUAAUAGGGAUAGUUGGGGGCAUUAGUAUUCAAUUGUCAGAGGUGAAAUUCUUGGAUUUAUUGAAGACUAACUACUGCGAAAGCAUUUGCCAAGGAUGUUUUCAUUAAUCAAGAACGAAAGUUAGGGGAUCGAAGACGAUCAGAUACCGUCGUAGUCUUAACCAUAAACUAUGCCGACUAGGAAUCAGACGAUGUUAAUUUUUUAAUGACUCGUUUGGCACCUUACG
rnacentral:rRNA from 1 species